GACUAUGCCACAAGCUGCUGUGAUCCAUCCAUUGGGCAGAGACCACCUGAGGUAUCAGGAGUACAAAGCUGAGAAACUGGUAGUUCCAGCAUUCAGAAACAUUUGCUCUUUAUAAUUGAUUUGAUGUGAAUUAAGUGAGGAAUUGGAAGGAAGAUCCCUAGGACACAAUAAAGAUAUUUUACCUCUUUGGGUAAGAAUAUGUAGGGGAAAGGAUCCAGGACCAAAGUGAAGAGGCCCUGAGCCCUGGAACACUCCACCAAUUGAAGGUUGCUUCCAUGUCUCGGCUACUGUGAACAGACCUGCAGUGAACACUAGGGUUUGUGCAGUCUCUGCAGUUCUGUGCGUGAGUGUGUGCACGUGCACGCAUUCUAACUCCACCUGCACUUGCAAAAGACUUAGAGCCAAAAUCUGACACUCUGCAACUGAAAAGGCCUUGCUGACUGAGUCACGUACAGCCCGGGCAGAGAAGCAAGGCGCUCUGGAUCCCUUCUCCCUAUGGACUAGGAUGGCACAAUUUAUUCUUCUCAACCACACUGAAUAAGUGACUAUGACACAGAUGGGUCUAUAUACAAACCGAGAUACUGUGCUACACUUUGUGGAAGAACAGAACAAUGAUUCAAAAAUAAUCUAUAGCCUCAAAUCAUACGGAGGCUUAGCAGGGGAUUCUGUGAAGUUUUUUUUCUUUUUUGGAGGUGGGGAGAUGGAGAUGAUAUAUCUUACUAUGAAGUAGAUUUGAUGGCAGUAAUAAGACUGAAGGAGACUUCCAGUAACCUUGGGCAUAAGAAACAUGGGUGUGGCACCUGCAAACCCUUUUCAGUUCUCUGUCUCUGUUUCUGAGGCGUGUAGACGCUGAACCCACCUUGCUUGGCUGUUUUGGCUUUGGUUUAAUACUGAUGAAGACAUCGAGCUGUUCCAUCAGCUGAGCAAUGAACUGUGGAUCGACUUCAAUUUCUUCCUUCAUAUCAAAC